UACAGAGGUCUCAAGCGUUGUUCGGAUUCAUUGGGCGUAAAGGGUGUGUAGGUGGCGCCGUUAGUCGGGUGUGAAAUUUCGGAGCUUAACUCCGAAACUGCAUUCGAUACUGCCGUGCUUGAGGACUGGAGAGGAGACUGGAAUUUACGGUGUAGCGGUGAAAUGCGUAGAUAUCGGCAGGAACACCCAGGGGGAAACCAGUCGACUGGGCAUCUACUGACGCUGAGGUGCGAGAGCGUGGGGAGCGAACCGG
rnacentral:rRNA from 1 species